rnacentral:rRNA from 1 species
AACGAACGCUGGCGGCAGGCUUAACACAUGCAAGUCGAGCGCCCCGCAAGGGGAGCGGCAGACGGGUGAGUAACGCGUGGGAAUCUACCCAUCUCUACGGAAUAACGCAUGGAAACGUGUGCUAAUACCGUAUACGUCCUUCGGGAGAAAGAUUUAUCGGAGAUGGAUGAGCCCGCGUUGGAUCAGCUAGUUGGUGGGGUAAGGGCCUACCAAGGCGACGAUCCAUAGCUGGUCUGAGAGGAUGAUCAGCCACACUGGGACUGAGACACGGCCCAGACUCCUACGGGAGGCAGCAGUGGGGAAUAUUGGACAAUGGGCGCAAGCCUGAUCCAGCCAUGCCGCGUGAGUGAUGAAGGCCCUAGGGUUGUAAAGCUCUUUCACCGGUGAAGAUAAUGACGGUAACCGGAGAAGAAGCCCCGGCUAACUUCGUGCCAGCAGCCGCCGUAACAC